CAAACAAUAAUGUAAAUAUUUGAUGUGUUUCUAGGUGGACUAUGACAACCAUCCUCUGUAUAAACAUGGGAAAACAGGCAGGAAGCAAUCUCCGGUGAGGAUCUUCACCAACAUUUCACCAAAAGACAUCGGUCUGCCCAAGGACGAAGGCUACAGAUUUUGCUCUGUGUGUCAGAGAUUCGUCUUGUCCCUCAACAAGCACUGUGCUAAAUGCAACGUCUGCCCGUCCAAGGACGGCCGAGAAUGGAAGCAUUGCUCAAGGUGUGAGAAGUGUGUGAAACCAUCCUGGAGACACUGUGCGCCCUGUGGCCGCUGCGCCCUGCCGGACCACCCG